UACAGAGGUCUCAACCGUUGUUCGGAUUCAUUGGGCGUAAAGGGUGCGUAGGCGGUCGCGCAAGUCGGAUGUGAAAUCCCAGGGCUCAACCCUGGAACUGCAUUCGAUACUGCGUGGCUCGGGUACUGGAGAGGAGACUGGAAUUUACGGUGUAGCAGUGAAAUGCGUAGAUAUCGUAAGGAAGACCAGUGGCGAAGGCGAGUCUCUGGACAGUUACCGACGCUGAGGCACGAAGGCCAGGGGAGCAAACGGG
rnacentral:rRNA from 1 species